CCAUUCCUUUCUACUCUCUCUCUCUCCAAAAACAACUGUGGAGGUUUGCGUUUGUAUACUCAGAAAUUGAUCUUUAGAUUUUUUUUUUUUUUUUGUGCACGGUGGUCGGCCGGUGAUUCUGGCUGAGUUAGGUGUUCAACUCGGCGGCGGCGACAACGGCGGAAGAUUGAAAUUUAAAGGUUGUAUUAUGGGGUUUUGGCAUCAGAUGAUUUUUCCUGUACGGCGGGUUUGGCUCGCCGUUUAUGUCCGUCUUAAAGCUCGCAAAAACGAUGAAGGACUCCUGAAGCUCCACGAUGAUGUUGAAACGUGUGGUUAUCAAGAUGUAAAGGUUAUGUGGGAAAUACUGAGGAGAUCGGAAGCCGAGUUAAUUAAUCAUCAUCCACAAAUGAGGCGCAAACACAAGCCAUUUUGGAAGGCCUUCGUGUGGUCUAACCCUAGCUCCAACCCAUCCACUAGUAUAGCUAAAAUAACAAAUUUUCCAACUUUCAACCCUGUUUCAUAGGGAGACAAGUCAAGUUUUCUCCCCUCAUGAAAUGCCUUAAAAAAAUAAUGUGAAAAUCUUAAUGUUGUAUCUUUGGCACUUUUUAGGCCAAAUUGUGUCUAGAGAAAGUGAAUUGUUGUAAAUAGAAAUAAUAAUUGCUUCUAAAAGGUUUCCAAGAAAAAGCUCAAAUUAAUACUUUGGGAGUUGGGAGAAAUAAUCCACUUCACCUUUGUUAAAAGGUGUAUUGUAC